CGAUUUUCCAUCGGUAUGCGUGGACUUGCCGAUUCGUAACAGGGUACCCGUAGAAUCCCGAGCCCGAUAUCUUUGGCGAACGGGUGAGUAACACGUGAGUAACCUGCCCCCGACUCUGGGAUAACUGCUAGAAAUGGUAGCUAAUACCGGAUAUGACGAUUGGCCGCAUGGUCUGGUCGUGGAAAGAAUUUCGGUUGGGGAUGGACUCGCGGCCUAUCAGGUUGUUGGUGAGGUAAUGGCUCACCAAGCCUACGACGGGUAGCCGGCCUGAGAGGGUGACCGGCCACACUGGGACUGAGACACGGCCCAGACUCCUACGGGAGGCAGCAGUGGGGAAUAUUGCACAAUGGGCGAAAGCCUGAUGCAGCAACGCCGCGUGAGGGAUGACGGCCUUCGGGUUGUAAACCUCUUUUAGUAGGGAAGAAGCGAAAGUGACGGUACCUGCAGAAAAAGCACCGGCUAACUACGUGCCAGCAGCCGCGGUAAUACGUAGGGUGCAAGCGUUGUCCGGAAUUAUUGGGCGUAAAGAGCUCGUAGGCGGUUUGUCGCGUCUGCUGUGAAAUCCCGAGGCUCAACCUCGGGUCUGCAGUGGGUACGGGCAGACUAGAGUGCGGUAGGGGAGAUUGGAAUUCCUGGUGUAGCGGUGGAAUGCGCAGAUAUCAGGAGGAACACCGAUGGCGAAGGCAGAUCUCUGGGCCGUAACUGACGCUGAGGAGCGAAAGCAUGGGGAGCGAACAGGAUUAGAUACCCUGGUAGUCCAUGCCGUAAACGUUGGGAACUAGAUGUGGGGACCAUUCCACGGUCUCCGUGUCGCAGCUAACGCAUUAAGUUCCCCGCCUGGGGAGUACGGCCGCAAGGCUAAAACUCAAAGGAAUUGACGGGGGCCCGCACAAGCGGCGGAGCAUGCGGAUUAAUUCGAUGCAACGCGAAGAACCUUACCAAGGCUUGACAUAUACCGGAAACAUGCAGAAAUGUGUGCCCCGCAAGGUCGGUAUACAGGUGGUGCAUGGUUGUCGUCAGCUCGUGUCGUGAGAUGUUGGGUUAAGUCCCGCAACGAGCGCAACCCUCGUUCUAUGUUGCCAGCACGUAAUGGUGGGAACUCAUAGGAGACUGCCGGGGUCAACUCGGAGGAAGGUGGGGAUGACGUCAAAUCAUCAUGCCCCUUAUGUCUUGGGCUUCACGCAUGCUACAAUGGCCGGUACAAAGGGCUGCGAUACCGUAAGGUGGAGCGAAUCCCAAAAAGCCGGUCUCAGUUCGGAUUGAGGUCUGCAACUCGACCUCAUGAAGUCGGAGUCGCUAGUAAUCGCAGAUCAGCAACGCUGCGGUGAAUACGUUCCCCGGCCUUGUACACACCGCCCGCCAAGUCAUGAAAGUCAAUAACUACCUUCCGGAUCCACAGCACCAGAAUAGAUCAGACGUCAGCUCAGGCACUGCAUGACUCAGCA
rnacentral:rRNA from 1 species